rnacentral:lncRNA from 1 species
GGGGAGGGUUGGGAUCCCGCUAACAUGUUUAACACCGCCACAUUAUUUAUGUAUGUGCCUGUCCCAAGUCAGGAGCCUGUAAGUCAGUGGUUGUCGUUUGUUUAUAUUUUACAUAUUUGUUUUUUUCGUUCAUUUUUUUUUUAUAUAAAUAAGGCCGUUAGUUUUCUCGUUUGAAUUGUUUUACAUUGUCUUAUCGGGGCCUUUUAUAGAUGACUAUGCGGUAUGGGCUUUGCUCAUUGUUGAAGGCCGUACGGUGACCUAUAGUUGUUAAUGUCUGUGUCAUUUUGGUCUUUUGUGGAUUGUUGUCUUAUUGGCAAUCAUACCACAUCUUCUUUUUUUAUA